GACGAACGCUGGCGGCGUGCCUAAUACAUGCAAGUUGAACGCAACAAAGACACCAGAGCUUGCUCUACCGUCUUUGUUGAGUAGCGAACGGGUGAGUAACGCGUGGGUAACCUGCCUUAUAGCGGGGGAUAACUAUUGGAAACGAUAGCUAAUACCGCAUAAACAAUAGAGAUUGCAUAAAUCUUUAUUGAAAGUGCCAACUGGUACACUAUGAGAUGGACCCGCGUUGUAUUAGCUAGUUGGUAGUGUAAUGGACUACAAGGCGAUGAUACAUAGCGACCU
rnacentral:rRNA from 1 species